AUUGAACGCUGGCGGCAUGCCUUACACAUGCAAGUCGAACGGUAACAGGUCUUCGGAUGCUGACGAGUGGCGAACGGGUGAGUAAUACAUCGGAACGUGCCUAGUAGUGGGGGAUAACUACUCGAAAGAGUGGCUAAUACCGCAUGAGAUCUACGGAUGAAAGCAGGGGAUCGCAAGACCUUGUGCUACUAGAGCGGCCGAUGGCUGAUUAGGUAGUUGGUGGGAUAAAAGCUUACCAAGCCGACGAUCUGUAGCUGGUCUGAGAGGACGAUCAGCCACACUGGGACUGAGACACGGCCCAGACUCCUACGGGAGGCAGCAGUGGGGAAUUUUGGACAAUGGGCGAAAGCCUGAUCCAGCAAUGCCGCGUGCAGGAUGAAGGCCUUCGGGUUGUAAACUGCUUUUGUACGGAACGAAAAGCCCCGGGUUAAUACCCUGGGGUCAUGACGGUACCGUAAGAAUAAGCACCGGCUAACUACGUACCAGCAGCCGCAGUAA
rnacentral:rRNA from 1 species